UGUUUCGGCAUGCGGUGGCUGGGCAUGCGGGCUACGUGACCCAGCCACACACAGACACACACACAGACACACACAGACACACACACAGA
rnacentral:miRNA from 1 species